UAUGUAGGAGACGAGCGUUGUCCGGAUUUAUUGGGCGUAAAGAGCGUGUAGGCGGCCAGGGAGGUCCGUUGUGAAAACUCGAGGCUCAACCUCGAGACGCCGAUGGAAACCCCCUGGCUAGAGUCCGGAAGAGGAGAAUGGAAUUCCUGGUGUAGCGGUGAAAUGCGCAGAUAUCAGGAGGAACACCGGUGGCGAAGGCGGGUCUCUGGGCCAUAACUGACGCUGAGGAGCGAAAGCGUGGGGAGCGAACAGG
rnacentral:rRNA from 1 species